rnacentral:tRNA from 1 species
AGCCCUGUGGCACAAUGGGCCAGUGUGUCUUGCUAUUAACCAGAAGUUUGGUGGUUCGAGCCCACCCAGGGAUU